rnacentral:tRNA from 1 species
GCCGGGAUGGCGAAAUGGUAGACGCGGGGGCCUUAAAAGCCUCUCUUCCUCACGGAGGGUAUGGGUUCGAGUCCCUUUCCCGGCA